GUGAGGAAUUUUCCGCAAUGGGCGAAAGCCUGACGGAGCAAUGCCGCGUGAAUGAUGAAGGUCUUAGGAUUGUAAAAUUCUUUCACCGGGGACGAUAAUGACGGUACCCGGAGAAGAAGCCCCGGCUAACUUCGUGCCAGCAGCCGCGGUAAUACGAAGGGGGCUAGCGUUGCUCGGAAUUACUGGGCGUAAAGGGCGCGUAGGCGGACAGUUUAGUCAGAGGUGAAAGCCCAGGGCUCAACCUUGGAAUUGCCUUUGAUACUGGCUGUCUUGAGUACGGGAGAGGUGAGUGGAACUCCGAGUGUAGAGGUGAAAUUCGUAGAUAUUCGGAAGAACACCAGUGGCGAAGGCGACUCACUGGCCCGUUACUGACGCUGAGGCGCGAAAGCGUGGGGAGCAAACAGGAUUAGAUACCCGAGUAGUCC
rnacentral:rRNA from 1 species